AUUUAUUCCCUUGAAUGUAGGACGAAAGGAUACCAGGGCGGGAGUUGGACUCCUGUGGAGAUUGUUGGGUCACUGAAGGUUGUCUUGUAGACUCAAAUGAUGAGCCGACUGCCAUUGAUGCUCACAUGUACAGGGCUAAAGUUUCAGACGAAGAACAUGGGCAAUAUGGUUGGGUUCACAUUCGACAGAGUAUUCACAACCCAAAUGUCGCUGUAAAUAUGCAGUCUACGAUUCCUGGUGGCUGCAAAAGCAUGACAACAACUCUUAGAGACAGGUUUCUCAUGGCAAGCGGAGUAA